rnacentral:rRNA from 1 species
UUGGGACCGGGACGGGGUGGAAGUAACCGCGGGUACGGGGGAACCUCGUCCGUUCGACCGGGAACCCGGGGGGUAACUUAAACCUAACGUUAAAGUAAAAGUAGGUGCUAAUACCGCAUAAGCGCACAGAGCCGCAUGGCUCAGUGUGAAAAACUCCGGUGGUGCAAGAUGGACCCGCGUCUGAUUAGCUGGUUGGCGGGGUAACGGCCCACCAAGGCGACGAUCAGUAGCCGGCCUGAGAGGGUGAACGGCCACAUUGGGACUGAGACACGGCCCAAACUCCUACGGGAGGCAGCAG